rnacentral:snRNA from 1 species
AUACUUACCUGGUACAGAGGCCACCGUGAUCAACCAGGCGGUGCCUCCAGGAAGAGGCCCUUCCAUUGCACUUCGGUUGGGCUGAAGCCUGCGAUUACCCCUAAUGUGGGUAACUCGGGUACGCAAUUUAUUAGUGUGGGGGUCUGCGUUCGCGCUAACCCCUG